CCUACGGGAGGCAGCAGUGGGGAAUUUUGCGCAAUGGGGGCAACCCUGACGCAGCAACGCCGCGUGAGUGAUGAAGGCCUUCGGGUCGUAAAGCUCUGUCAGAGGGGAAGAAAUGCAGGUGGUGAACAACCAUUCUGUUUGACGGUACCCUCAAAGGAAGCACCGGCUAACUCCGUGCCAGCAGCCGCGGUAAUACGGAGGGUGCGAGCGUUGUUCGGAAUUAUUGGGCGUAAAGCGCGUGUAGGCGGUUUGUUAAGUCUGAUGUGAAAGCCCCGGGCUCAACCUGGGAAGUGCAUUGGAUGCUGGCAGACUUGAGUACGGGAGAGGAGAGUGGAAUGCCCAGUGUAGGAGUAAAAUCCGUAGAUAUUGGGAGGAACACAGGUGGCGAAGGCGGCCCUCUGGACCGAUACUGACGCGGAGACGCGAAAGCGGGGGGAGCAAACGGGAUUAGAUCCCCUGUUAGU
rnacentral:rRNA from 1 species